AGGGAAUUUUGCGCAAUGGACGAAAGUCUGACGCAGCAACGCCGCGUGAAGGAUGAAGGUCUUCGGAUUGUAAACUUCUGUUGAGUGGAAAGAAAAGCCCGCAAGGGUCCGACGGUACCACUUGAGUAAGCACCGGCUAACUACGUGCCAGCAGCCGCGGUAAUACGUAGGGUGCAAGCGUUGUUCGGAAUUACUGGGCGUAAAGGGAGUGUAGGCGGAGUCAUAAGUUAGGAGUUUAAUCUGCUGGCUUAACCAGCAGUCUGCUUUUAAUACUGUGAUUCUUGAGUAUGGGAGAGGGUGAUGGAAUUCCAGGUGUAGCGGUGGAAUGCGUAGAUAUCUGGAAGAACACCAGUAGCGAAGGCGGUCGCCUGGCCCAAUACUGACGCUGAGGCUCGAAAGCUAGGGGAGCAAAC
rnacentral:rRNA from 1 species